UGGAUGCCCUGGCAGUCAGAGGCGAUGAAGGACGUGCUAAUCUGCGAAAAGCGUCGGUAAGGUGAUAUGAACCGUUAUAACCGGCGAUGUCCGAAUGGGGAAACCCAGUGCAAUUCGUUGCACUAUCGUUAACUGAAUACAUAGGUUAACGAGGCGAACCGGGGGAACUGAAACAUCUAAGUACCCCGAGGAAAAGAAAUCAACCGAGAUUCCCCCAGUAGCGGCGAGCGAACGGGGAGCAGCCCAGAGUCUGAAUCAGCUUGUGUGUUAGUGGAACGGUCUGGAAAGUCCGACGGUACAGGGUGAUAGUCCCGUACACCAAAAUGCACAGGCUGUGAACUCGAAGAGUAGGGCGGGACACGUGGUAUCCUGUCUGAAUAUGGGGGGACCAUCCUCCAAGGCUAAAUACUCCUGACUGACCGAUAGUGAACCAGUACCGUGAGGGAAAGGCGAAAAGAACCCCGGCGAGGGGAGUGAAAAAGAACCUGAAACCGUGUACGUACAAGCAGUGGGAGCACCUUCGGGUGUGACUGCGUACCUUUUGUAUAAUGGGUCAGCGACUUAUAUUCUGUAGCAAGGUUAACCGUAUAGGGGAGCCGCAGGGAAACCGAGUCUUAACUGGGCGUUAAGUUGCAGGGUAUAGACCCGAAACCCGGUGAUCUAGCCAUGGGCAGGUUGAAGGUUGGGUAACACUAACUGGAGGACCGAACCGACUAAUGUUGAAAAAUUAGCGGAUGACUUGUGGCUGGGGGUGAAAGGCCAAUCAAACCGGGAGAUAGCUGGUUCUCCCCGAAAGCUAUUUAGGUAGCGCCUCGUGAACUCAUCUUCGGGGGUAGAGCACUGUUUCGGCUAGGGGGUCAUCCCGACUUACCAACCCGAUGCAAACUACGAAUACCGAAGAAUGUUAUCACGGGAGACACACGGCGGGUGCUAACGUCCGUCGUGAAGAGGGAAACAACCCAGACCGCCAGCUAAGGUCCCAAAGUCAUGGUUAAGUGGGAAACGAUGUGGGAAGGCACAGACAGCCAGGAUGUUGGCUUAGAAGCAGCCAUCAUUUAAAGAAAGCGUAAUAGCUCACUGGUCGAGUCGGCCUGCGCGGAAGAUGUAACGGGGCUAAACCAUGCACCGAAGCUGCGGCAGCGACACUAUGUGUUGUUGGGUAGGGGAGCG
rnacentral:rRNA from 1 species